GUGAUCACUUUGGCAGCAAAUAUUCAAAUUGGAACAAUACAGGAAGAUUAGCAUGGCCCCUUUUCAAGGAUGACACACAAAUUCAUGAAGCGUUCCAUAUUUAA
rnacentral:snRNA from 1 species